rnacentral:misc_RNA from 1 species
AGCCGCGGUAAUUCCAGCUCCAAUAGCAUAUAUUAAAGUUGUUGCAGUUAAAAAGCUCGUAGUUGAAUUUCGGGAUUGACACAUCGGUCGUGCCUUAAGGGGUAUGAACUGGUGUAGUCAAUUUCUCACCUUCUGGAGAACCGCAAUGCCCUUAAUUGGGUGUCGCGGGGAACCAGGACCUUUACUUUGAAAAAAUUAGAGUGUUUAAAGCAGGCAUUUUGCUUGAAUACAUUAGCAUGGAAUAAUAAAAUAGGACGGAUGAUUCUAUUUUGUUGGUUUCUAGGACCACCGUAAUGAUUAAUAGGGAUAGUUGGGGGCAUUAGUAUUCAAUUGUCAGAGGUGAAAUUCUUGGAUUUAUUGAAGACUAACUACUGCGAAAGCAUUUGCCAAGGAUGUUUUCAUUAAUCAAGAACGAAAGUUAGGGGAUCGAAGACGAUCAGAUACCGUCGUAGUCUUAACCAUAAACUAUGCCGACUAGGAAUCAGACGAUGUUAAUUUUUUAAUGACUCGUUUGGCACCUUACG